GGCACUCCCCGCCCCUCAGCUCCCGUCAAUCGCCAGCGCCAUCUUUGAUCACCGUAAUCCCCGCCUCUGUUAUAACCUCUGGCGCCAUUUUGGAUUAGGUCAGUGUCGCCUUGGCAACCCUUGCCAGGCCCGCAGUUUCAGCCAUCUAGAUGCUUCCUCGCCCCUCACUAUUCUCUCACCCAUAACCUCUGCCUCCAUGAUGGAUCAAGAAAAUGAUGCGUUCGUUUUCCCUUCACAUCUUGCUUCUUCCAAUGGCUCUAGCGUCAUCGCUAUGCACGUGAUUGACUUACCUGCCAUUUUGAAUCAGGGUAAUAAAUGCCGCUACUGCUUCCCAUCAACCACGGAGACCAGCUUGGAAAUAGCCUUUCUGGCGGAUGCGCUUUGCUUCUUCAUCAGAAGCCAGGUUGAAGGUUCAGUCUCAGAAGGUUUCUGCCCUGGCUUUUAAAUUUAAAGUUACUAGUACAGUGAAGGUCAACGAGAAGUGUGUCUUUUUAACUAUCUGACUGAGGUCGCACGGGUGGCCAAGGAACCAGUGCCAUUUGUGAGGGUCUGGAGGACUCAAGUGCAUUUUCCAGCCCGAAGCCGCAUGUGCUCACCUGUCGCCAAGCGGGACCUGGACAAGGUGGCUUCUCCGAGACUGUUGACAGCCUUGCAGGUGUACUUGGCGUCGUCAUCCCCACAAACAUCACUGAUGAUUAAAGAGCAGUUCCCGUCCUCAUCAUAGUCUAUCUGGAAGUGGCGGGACUCCCGGAUUGACUGGUCAUCUUUGAACCAGACAACUUCAGGGUCUGGGUAUCCUGCAACACAGGGAGAGAACACAAGUUUCUUAUCAGUUCAUGCGAGCAACUGAUCAUGAUAUCACAGUUUGUGAGUUCGAGCCCCA